rnacentral:rRNA from 1 species
AGCAGCCGCGGUAAUUCCAGCUCCAAUAGCGUAUAUUAAAGUUGUUGCAGUUAAAAAGCUCGUAGUUGAAUUUCGGGGUUAACAAGUUGGUCGUGCCUUUGGUAUGCACUGGCUUUGCUGAUUCCUCCUUCUUGAAGAACCGUGAUGCUAUUAAUUUGGUGUUGCAGGGAAACAGGACUGUUACUUUGAAAAAAUUAGAGUGUUUAAAGCAGGCUAACGCUUGAAUACAUUAGCAUGGAAUAAUGAAAUAGGACGUUUGAUCCUAUUUUGUUGGUUUCUAGGAUUGACGUAAUGAUUAAUAGGGAUAGUUGGGGGCAUUAGUAUUCAAUUGUCAGAGGUGAAAUUCUUGGAUUUAUUGAAGACUAACUACUGCGAAAGCAUUUGCCAAGGAUGUUUUCAUUAAUCAAGAACGAAAGUUAGGGGAUCGAAGACGAUCAGAUACCGUCGUAGUCUUAACCAUAAACUAUGCGACUAGGGAUCGGAUGAUGUUAAUUUUUAAUGACUCAUUCGGCGCCUU